rnacentral:rRNA from 1 species
GUGCCAAGCAGCCGCGGUAAUUCCAGCUCCAAUAGCGUAUAUUAAAGUUGUUGUGGUUAAAAAGCUCGUAGUUGAACCUUGGGCCUGGCUGGCCGGUCCGCCUCACCGCGUGCACCGGUCCGGCCGGGCCUUUCCCUCUGUGGAACCCCAUACCCUUCACUGGGCGUGGCGGGGAAACAGGACAUUUACUUUGAAAAAAUUAGAGUGCUCCAGGCAGGCCUAUGCUCGAAUACAUUAGCAUGGAAUAAUAAAAUAGGACGCGCGGUUCUAUUUUGUUGGUUUAUAGGACCGCCGUAAUGAUUAAUAGGGACAGUCGGGGGCAUCAGUAUUCAACUGUCAGAGGUGAAAUUCUUGGAUCAGUUGAAGACUAACUACUGCGAAAGCAUUUGCCAAGGAUGUUUUCAUUAAUCAGGAACGAAAGUUAGGGGAUCGAAGACGAUCAGAUACCGUCGUAGUCUUAACCAUAAACUAUGCCGACUAGGGAUCGGACGGUGUUAUUCAUGACCCGUUCGGCACCUUACGAGAAAUCAAAGUGCUUGGGCUCCAGGGGGAGUAUGGUCGCAAGGCUGAAACUUAAAGAAAUUGACGGAAGGGCACCACCAGGGGUGGAGCCUGCGGCUUAAUUUGACUCAACACGGGGAAACUCACCAGGUCCAGACACAAUAAGGAUUGACAGAUUGAGAGCUCUUUCUUGAUUUUGUGGGUGGUGGUGCAUGGCCGUUCUUAGUUGGUGGGGUGGCUUGUCUGCUUAAUUGCGAUAACGAACGAGACCUUAACCUGCUAAAUAGCCCGCAUUGC